CUGUGCUCUUUUUCCUCAGCGGUAGUCACAGUGUCAGGACCUUAAUGUCAAGACCUCACCAUGGGAGGCACUAGAUAGAGGAGGGAUAAGAAGAGAGACUACAUGGAGCAAUUAAGAAGAAAGAGGAACAGACUAGAGAUGAAGAAAGUAGCCGAACGUGCAAUUGGGUCCCACUGACAAGUUAGCCUGGAGUGCCCUUUCAGGUUUCCACCCCGAGUCGUUGGCCCCAUCCUGUUCACACAGAUUAAGAGGAAGGAAAAAAAGCAUCCCAAGAAAAUGAAAGAGCCGUUCUGUUUCUUACACAUCUGUAGCUUAUUAAGGAGACCAUCAUAACUGAAGACACUCUGACCAAGCAACUUCAGGUUUCCUCUGGUAAAUCAUGAAUAUCCAGUGGUAUCAGAGACUAACAGGAUGGCAUUAAUCACCAGCAAACUGGCAGCAGUGGUGGUAGCCAGCAUGGUGUGAAGUGUGUUAUUUGCUGCAAACACCCUUGGAGGACUGAGAAAUUGCCUAAGAAGCCUAAGUCAUUUGAAGAGAUUGUGGCAUGUUAGAACU
rnacentral:lncRNA from 1 species